UACGUAGGGGGCAAGCGUUGUCCGGAAUUAUUGGGCGUAAAGAGCUCGUAGGCGGUUUGUCGCGUCUGCCGUGAAAGUCCGGGGCUCAACUCCGGAUCUGCGGUGGGUACGGGCAGACUAGAGUGCAGUAGGGGAGACUGGAAUUCCUGGUGUAGCGGUGAAAUGCGCAGAUAUCAGGAAGAACACCCGUGGCUAAGGCGGCUCUCUAGUACGGUACUGACGCUGAGACGCGAAAGCGUGGGGAGCGAACAGG
rnacentral:rRNA from 1 species